CAGCAGCCACGGUAAUACGGAGGGUGCAAGCGUUAAUCGGAAUUACUGGGCGUAAAGCGUGCGUAGGCGGUGAGUUAAGUCUGCUGUGAAAUCCCCGGGCUCAACCUGGGAAUGGCAGUGGAUACUGGCUCGCUAGAGUGUGUCAGAGGAUGGUGGAAUUCCCGGUGUAGCGGUGAAAUGCGUAGAGAUCGGGAGGAACAUCAGUGGCGAAGGCGGCCAUCUGGGACAACACUGACGCUGAGGCACGAAAGCGUGGGGAACAAACAGGAUUAGAUACCCCUGUAGUCCCUGUCUCUUAUAA
rnacentral:rRNA from 1 species